rnacentral:snRNA from 1 species
GUGUUCACUUCGGCAGCACAUAUACUAAAACUGGAAUGAUACAGAGAAGAUUGGCAUGGCCCCUGCACAAGGAUGACACACAAAUUGGUGUUUUUUUUUUUAAAUUU